CGUCGCCAUUGCCGGAGCACCUCGGCCUCGGCCCAGAGGCGAGUGUCGGUCGCUGUGUCGGAGACACCCGUCCCCGACACCAAGACAGCCAGCCCUCUCCCCUGCCCCGCGGCGGGAGAGCGUGUCCGGCCGGCCGGCGGGGCUCGCGCACCCUCCCUCGCCUCCCCUUCCCCCGCAGCCUCCGCCCCGCCAGGCCCGGCCCGGACCUCCGAGCCCCGGCCUCCUCCUCCUUCUCUGUCGCCACCACCGCCGCCGCCGCCGCCGGGCUCGACAGCCCCGCCCGCCGCUUCUCUUUCCAGUUUGAGAAGCCGAGGAAGGAAACAGGGAAAAAUGUCGCCAUGAAGGCCGAGAACCGCUGCCGCCGCCGACCCCCGCCGGCCCCGAACGCCAUGAGCCUGGGUCCCCGCCGCGCCCGCUCCGCUCCGACCGCCGCCGCCGCCGAGGCCCCCGUUGAUGCCGCAGAGCUCCCCCAGCGCCGCCGCCACCGCUUCCGACAUGGACAAGAACAGCGGCUCCAGCAGCUCCUCCGCCUCUUCGGGCAGCAGCAAAGGGCAACAGCCGCCCCGCUCCGCCUCGGCGGGGCCGGCCGGCGAGUCUAAACCCAAGAGCGAUGGAAAGAACUCAAAUGGAUCCAAGCGUUUUAAUCGCAAACGUGAACCUUCCUAUCCCAAAAAUGAAAAUUUUAGCAACCAGUCCCGUCGCUCCAAUUCACAGAAAAGCAAAACUUUUAACAAGAUGCCUCCACAGAGGGGCGGCGGCAGCAGCAAAGUCUUUAGCUCUUCUUUUAAUGGUGGAAGACGAGAUGAGGUAGCAGAGGCUCAACGGGCAGAGUUUAGCCCUGCCCAGUUCUCUGGUCCGAAGAAGAUCAAUCUGAACCACUUGUUGAAUUUCACUUUUGAACCGCGUGGCCAGGCGGGUCACUUUGAAGGCAGUGGACAUGGCAGCUGGGGAAAAAGGAACAAGUGGGGACAUAAGCCUUUUAACAAGGAACUCUUUUUACAGGCCAACUGCCAAUUUGUAGUGUCUGAAGACCAAGACUACACAGUUCAUUUUGCUGAUCCUGAUACUUUAGUCAAUUGGGACUUUGUGGAACAAGUGCGCAUUUGUAGCCAUGAAGUGCCAUCUUGCCCAAUAUGCCUAUAUCCACCUACUGCAGCCAAAAUAACCCGUUGUGGACACAUCUUCUGCUGGGCAUGCAUUCUGCACUACCUUUCACUGAGUGAGAAGACCUGGAGUAAAUGUCCCAUCUGUUAUAGUUCAGUACAUAAGAAGGAUCUCAAAAGUGUUGUUGCCACAGAGUCGCGUCAGUACGUUGUUGGCGAUACCAUUACGAUGCAGCUGAUGAAGAGGGAGAAAGGGGUAUUGUUGGCUUUGCCCAAAUCCAAAUGGAUGAAUGUAGACCAUCCUAUUCAUCUAGGAGAUGAACAGCACAGCCAGUACUCCAAGCUGUUGCUGGCCUCUAAGGAGCAGGUGCUGCACCGGGUGGUUCGGGAAGAGAGAGUAGCUCUAGAGCAGCAGCUGGCAGAGGAGAAGCACACUCCCGAGUCCUGCUUUAUUGAGGCAGCUAUCCAGGAGCUCAAGACUCGGGAAGAGGCUCUGUCAGGAUUGCCUGGAAGCAGAGGGGAGGCCGCUGGUGUUAUGCCUGCUCUGGAACAACUGGUGCUGAUGGCUCCCUUGGCCAAGGAGUCUGUGCUUCAACCCAGGAAGGGUGUGCUAGAGUAUCUGUCUGCUUUUGAUGAAGAGACCACCGAAGUUUGUUCUCUGGGAUCUCCUCGUCCUCUUGCUCUCCCUCUGGUAGAGGAAGAGGAAGCAGUGUCUGAACCAGAGCCUGAGGCCUGUGAUGACGCAGAGUUAGCAGAUGACAGUCUUGGAGAGGGGACCAUUUGUACUGAGUCCAGCCAGCAGGAACCCAUCAGCAAGCCAGGCUUCACACAUCUGAGCAGCUCUCCUUGUUACUACUUUUACCAAGCGGAGGACGGGCAGCACAUGUUCCUGCACCCUGUGAAUGUGCGCUGCCUUGUGAGGGAAUACGGCAGCCUGGAGCAGAGCCCGGAGAAGAUCUCGGCGGUAGUGGUGGAGAUCGCUGGCUACUCCAUGUCCGAGGACGUUCGACAGCGCCAUAGAUACCUCUCUCACCUGCCACUUACCUGUGAGUUCAGCAUCUGUGAACUAGCUCUGCAGCCUCCUGUGGUCUCUAAGGAAACCCUAGAGAUAUUCUCAGAUGACAUUGAAAAGAGGAAGCGUCAGCGCCAGAAGAAGGCUCGGGAGGAACGCCGCCGGGAACGCAGGAUUGAGAUGGAGGAGAACAAGAAACAGGGCAAGUACCCAGAAGUCCACAUUCCCCUAGAGAAUCUACAGCAGUUUCCUGCCUUCAAUUCCUAUACCUGCACCUCCAAUUCUGCUUUGGGUCCCACCAGCACCGAGGGCCAUGGUGCCCUCUCCCUGUCUCCUCUUAGCAGAAGUCCAGGUUCCCAAGCAGACUUUAUGCUGACCCCUCUGUCACCCACUGCCAGUCAGGGCAGUCCUUCAUUCUGCGUUGGGAGUCUGGAAGAAGACUCUCCCUUCCCUUCCUUUGCUCAGAGCGGGAAAACUUACCAGAAGGGAAUGACACAAAAUCAGGACUCCCAACUUGAGAGUCUGAAUGCUGAGGGUUGGAAAAGCAAAAGCAGAUGUGUGGCCCAAGACUACUUCAAAAAAAGAUGAAAACAGCUUAGUUCCUCCUGCUCCUGUGGACAGCGAUGGGGAGAGUGAUAACUCAGACCGUGUUCCUGUGCCCAGUUUCCAAAAUUCCUUCAGCCAAGCUAUUGAAGCAGCCUUCAUGAAACUGGACACACCAGCUACUUCAGAUCCCCUCUCUGAAGAGAAAGGAGGAAAGAAAAGGAAAAAACAGAAACAAAAGCUCCUGUUCAGCACUUCAGUCGUCCACACCAAGUGACACUACUGGCUACCUUCUCCAUCUGGUUUUCUUUUUUCUGUGCUUUUGUUUUGCUGCUGUAAUUUUUAAGUAUUUGAGUUUGAACAGAUUAGCUCUGGGGGGAGGGGGUUUCCACAGCGUGAGGGGGAACCAAAAUUUUAAAUACAGUGUAUUUUCCAGCUUCCCGUCUUUACACCAAAAUAAAGUAUUGACACAAGAGCUCUCUUCCUGCCAAGAGUUUUAGUUUGGUACCAGGGUUAGUCUUUUUGACCCAUGUAGAAUUAGUUUUUCUCAACUCGCGUAAGUUUGAGUCCCUUCAACAACCCUUGGAGCAGCCCAAACCCCAGAGUGUUCUAGUACUGCUCUACCGACAUGUCAAGGCAUCAUGGUUUCAACACACUGCUCAGCGUCUUUUAAAAAUAGUUGAGCCUUUCCUGUUUAGUUUUCCUCUUGUUAAAGAAACAGAGGAUGGGGAAUAAAAUGGAUUUAGGACACCCAGCCUGAAUUGCAGUUUUUCUUUGAAAAAUGGCCAGGCUGUGGUGCCAGACCUGGACUGCUUACAUACGUGCUCAAGGGUUUUACUUCUUGAGUGUGACUUGUUUGGCAAGGAAAGCUAUAAUCAUUAAAGAAGCCCUGAAACCUGCCCACUUUUAGGUGAAGCUUGUUUUAAGUGACAGUAGCCUGAGUUGUAGGAGCAGAGGAGUCUGACACACCUAGAGACAGCAGGGCAGGUUUGAAAGCAGUGGUAUUACCCACUGCCUCCUUGUUGUCUAGAGCAGUCUGUGCCUUGGUUUGAGCUGAAUUUGAGUGAUGUGAAUUAUCUUGCUGCUUUAAUAAAGUGACCUUCAGGUAUAAUAGAGUGUGAAGGCAAAUAGUUGCAAUAAAUCACCUGCACAAGCA